rnacentral:lncRNA from 1 species
AAAUGCAUGUUUUAUUCUUAUUCAGGCAUGGUGAAGCCAAUAUAUCAGGAGACAACCAUCAUUUAAAAGGUGGCUUGUUACUUUCAGUGUCCAAGAGGAAGGUGCACACCAAGCCUGGUAUGAGGGCACCUGGGGAAGCACUAGGGUGGGUCAGGAGGCAGAAGGGGUUGGGGGAAAACGUGGGCUGGAGCCUCCCUUGUGGUUUCCCUGGGAAGAAACGGAGAGGCAGAGUGACGGGCUUGAGUGACAGGCUUGGGGUUGGCUGGUUUGAAUCUGUUUGGAGACUCUGGACACAGUAGCUAUCCCUAGUUGUCUGGCACCAGGCACUGGGGUGCAGGGCAGGUGGGUCGUGGCCCUGGAGUGUAAGAGCCAGUGAAAGAGGUGGUUGGCGGUAUUGCCUCUGAAUUGGUUGGUUUGCAUCUGAAAGGUGAGUUGUUUGCUCUCCAGGAGUGAGUAACCCUGGGAGGGGUGUCCUUCCAGGGUCCACAGACCCCAAGAUGUUAAAGCAUCACAAUAAAAAGGUGCAUUUAAUACAAGAAGGACGAGCACAUGAGCUGGCAUCUAUGGUUGUCAUAUCCCUUCGGAGCCUCGGAUAAUAAGUCUUCAAGAAAGGAGGAGAAAAUGGACUUCAGUGAAGGGUAAAUAUGUGUGAACAAUACACAAGCUCAUAGCUAGGGAGAUACAGGAGGAGGAAAACCUGGAAAAAAGAGCAGUUCAGAGAGUAGAAGUGUCCCUAAUAAUAUGACAGGCUAGGAUCUUUCAGGCUCUGGAAUAUCCACCUAGCUUCAGAACCAAAAGUACCAAAUAUUGAGAAAUUAAAAAUAUAUAUUUUUCUUAACCAUUUCAUAAGAAUAAAAGAAGGGCCCGGGCACUGUGGCUCAUGCCUGUAAUCCCAGCACUUUGGGAGGCCGAGGCAGGCAGAUCACGAGGUCAGGAGUUCAAGACCAGCCUGACAAAAACAUGGUGAAACCCUAUUUCUACUAAACAAACAAACAAACAAACAAACAAAAAUUUGCCAGGCGUGGUGGUGCCCAUCUGUAAUCCCAGCUACUCAGGAGGCUGAGUCAGGAGAAUCGCCUGAACCUGGGAGGCAGAAGUUGCAGUGAGCCGAGACUGUGCCACUGCACUCCAGCCUGGGUGACAGAGUGAGACUCCACCAAAAAAAAAGAAGUAAAGGUAGAUCAUGAAUAAAAGAUUGGCAGCCAAAUACCCUCUGUUUAAAUAGAGAUAAGCCUGAAAUUGUGGUUUAUUAUAAAUGCUUCAUGUAUCAGAAUUGAGAUGCUGUAGAAUAACUCUUCUAGAAUUGCCAAUUUAGAUUCAUAAUUUGUGUCCAGAGUCCACGAUGAACCUGCCUGGGGGGAUGGAAGGGGCGCAAGGACCUGGCCCUGGAACCAGAGAGCACGCAGGCUUUCAUCCUGGCCCCUCCAGCACCACCAUGUGACCAUUUGAAAGUCACUCACCUCCCUGAGCCUCAGCAACAGCACGUGGACCCGGAAGGCCAACCUUUUAAGACCCUUAUGAGGCUUAAAUGAGAUCACACACAUAAAUCCUGCAGACCAUGCCUUGCACCCAGAGUGUGCCUCCACAAGCUUCAGCUCUGUCCAUAUGACAAAAAUAUAAUCCUAUAAUCCUCACAAAAUUACCCAUGUCUUUUUAACUAUAAACCUGAUACGUUUCUCAGGUGAUAAGCAGAUUAACCUAGCAAAAAAAGGGGUCACGGUAAAGGUUAAUGGACUAGCCCAAAUUCAAAGCCAGUGGGGCUACAAGACAUGAACCCCCUAAGGAGAAGAGCAGUUACAAUGUGUAUGUCUCUGUGCAAGUCAUUUUACGCAUAGUGAACUCAACAAAUUGGUUACUGUGGAAGGAAAUCUGGAUACUUCUGAAAACCAAAAAAACAAACACAAAUAAAAUGUGAGAGAUGGCACCAGAAAUCAUCUGUGUGUUUGGCUGCUGAUGUGGUUUGGCUGUGUCCCCACCCAAAUCACAUCUUGA